rnacentral:tRNA from 1 species
GUCUUGGUAGUAUAAAAAUUACUUUGGUCUUGUAAACCAAAAAUGAAGAAAAUUUCUUCCCAGGAC